AGAGUUUGAUCAUGGCUCAGAUUGAACGCUGGCGGCAUGCCUAACACAUGCAAGUCGAACGGAAACGAUGCUAGCUUGCUAGCAGGCGUCGAGUGGCGGACGGGUGAGUAAUAUAUAGGGAUCUGCCUAAUAGUGGGGGACAACGUGUGGAAACGCACGCUAAUACCGCAUACGCUCUACGGAGGAAAGUGGGGGAUCUUCGGACCUCAUGCUAUUAGAUGAACCUAUACCGGAUUAGCUUGUUGGUGAGGUAAUGGCUCACUAAGGCGACGAUCCGUAGCUGGUUUGAGAGAAUGAUCAGCCACACUGGGACUGAGACACGGCCCAGACUCCUACGGGAGGCAGCAGUGGGGAAUAUUGCACAAUGGACGAAAGUCUGAUGCAGCAAUGCCGCGUGUGUGAAGAAGGCCUUCGGGUUGUAAAGCACUUUCAGAUGUGAGGAAAAGCAGUCUAUUAAUACUAGAUUGCCGUGACGUUAACAUCAGAAGAAGGACCGGCUAACUCCGUGCCAGCAGCCGCGGUAAUACGGAGGGUCCAAGCGUUAAUCGGAAUUACUGGGCGUAAAGCGCGCGUAGGCGGAUAAUUAAGUCAGAUGUGAAAUCCCUGGGCUCAACCUAGGAACUGCAUUUGAUACUGGUUAUCUAGAGUAUGGUAGAGGUGAGUGGAAUUUCAGGUGUAGCGGUGAAAUGCGUAGAGAUCUGAAGGAACAUCAGUGGCGAAGGCGACUCACUGGGCCAUUACUGACGCUGAGGUGCGAAAGCGUGGGUAGCAAACAGGAUUAGAUACCCUGGUAGUCCACGCCCUAAACGAUGUCAACUAGGUGUGUGAGAGUCUAACUCUUGCGUAUCGAAGCUAACGCGAUAAGUUGACCGCCUGGGGAGUACGGUCGCAAGACUAAAACUCAAAUGAAUUGACGGGGGCCCGCACAAGCGGUGGAGCAUGUGGUUUAAUUCGAUGCAACGCG
rnacentral:rRNA from 1 species